rnacentral:rRNA from 1 species
UACGGAGGGGGCAAGCGUUGUUCGGAAUUACUGGGCGUAAAGGGCGCGCAGGCGGCUGCUCAAGUCAGGCGUGAAAGGCCUGGGCUCAACCCGGGAAUUGCGCUUGAGACUGGGCUGGCUUGAGUGCGGGAGAGGAUGGUGGAAUUCCCAGUGUAGAGGUGAAAUUCGUAGAUAUUGGGAGGAACACCAGUGGCGAAGGCGGCUCACUGGACCGGUACUGACGCUGAUGCGCGAAAGCGUGGGGAGCAAACGGG